rnacentral:rRNA from 1 species
AACGAACGCUGGCGGCGUGCCUAAUACAUGCAAGUCGAACGCACAGUUUAUACCGUAGCUUGCUACACCAUAGACUGUGAGUUGCGAACGGGUUAGUUACGCGUAGGUAACCUGCCUGGUAGCGGGGGAUAACUAUUGGUAACGAUAGCUAAUACCGCAUAAUAUUAAUUAUUGCAUGAUAAUUAAUUGAAAGGUGCAAUUGCACAACUACCAGAUGUACCUGCGUUGUAUUAGCUAGUAGGUGAGGUAACGGCUCACCUAAGCGACGAUACAUAGCCGACCUGAGAGGGUGAGCGGCCACACUGGGACUGAGACACGGCCCAGACUCCUACGGGAGGCAGCAGUAGGGAAUCUUCGGCGAUGGACGAAAGUCUGACCGAGGAACGCAGGGUGAGUGAAGAAGGGUGUCGGGUCGUAAGGCUCUGUUGUGAGAGAAGAACGGGGGUGAGAGUGAAAAGGUCACACUGUGACGGUAUCUUACCAGAAAGCGCCGGCUAACUACGUG